rnacentral:lncRNA from 1 species
CGGCCCGUCCCGUCCGGUCCACCGCCCAGUCUCGCCCCACGCCCCCUGACUCCCUCCUUGUUUCGACGCCUCACCUCGCUCUCUAUUCCUCAGCUCCUCGGAAUGCGUGGGGGCUUCCUGCAACAUCAGUCUCCGCCGCCCUCCACUAAAUCGCGACCCUGGGAAGGUGUUUCCACUGUGCCCAUCACACUAGGGGAAAUUGAGGCGGAGGCAGGGUGCGCAGGCAAAGAGCGGCAAGAGGACAGCUGGGAGGAAAACCCUCACAGAGAGCGUGACAUCUGAGCCAUCUGAAGGAUAAGUAGGACUGUGUCAGGAUUAUCAUGCUGGCUUCAGCAGGUAGAGCUGAUGGGAGGAGGCAAGACAGGAAGGAACUGCAUAGUCCAGUAAAUUGCAACAGAAGGAACAGUGCAUCAGUUCUGAGCCUAGGUGUCCAGAGGCCUUGCAUGCUUUGGCUCUCUCUUUUGGGGCUCUGCCCAGGCACCCAGG